GCUGAGAUGGCCGAGUGGUAAAGGUGUUGGACUCAAAAUCCAAUAGGGUUUCCCUACAUAGGUUCUAAUCCUGCUCACAACA